UAAAGCUUCAGUUCUUUAGCCAACUGAGCAUAGCCCAAAACUAUAUUAAAUCAGCCCAAAAUAUAUUAGCCCAUUAGAAAUAUCUCUGAUUUGAAUUCCAAAAUCUCUUUAAUCAUAUUGAAAUAUUUGCUUCAAUUCCAACAGAAAAGCUGCCAUCUAUUCCUAUCCUACUUUAUUGACCAAAGCGUCUGAAAUUUUCAGACUUGCCUUCCUCUCUCAUGGCUUCCCCCACACCCUUUUUUCUUUUUUGCUUCAAAGCGUGGAUCAUCUUUCAAAAAAGCAACAUUGACUUCACCAUUUUAAGAAAAGAAAUCAAAACCAUCUCAGAGGACGAUUCUCUGUCUUGCCUCCAACGUUCGGAUUCAAGCGACCAUUUUUAUCAAGAUUCAAGUCCGAUUUUGAAUUCCCUCAAAAAAGACCCAAACCCUACUUCUUCACCUAUAAAUACUAGUAUUUGGAAUAUAUUGGGGCAGAGCUUUUGGAGCCGUUGCACCUCUUUUUAAACCCACAAGCUUCAGCCCCCUUCUUUAACCUUAAGCUCUUAGCUGCCCCUUUGACCCCAAAAUUUGAGGCUGGAGCCGCCCCAAAGCUCCGAUUUUUAGCCGCCAUUGCUAACUCCUACAAAUCUACUGGUGUUACUCGAUUUAUCCCUAAAAUAAACACUCUUAAAAGGCUCAGCUCUCUCUCUCUCUCUCUCUCUCUCUCUCUCUCUCUCUCUCUUUUAAUCUCUUUCUCUGUCGGCGUUUACCUAUAAUAGUGGCGUUUGUUUCUGUUCGUUCUGGUAUUUGACGACUACCCGUGUACAGCAAGUUCGAGGUUAGAAUCCGAUAGCGGCUUACCCUAGUUCACUGCCCGCAAAAAGGUCAGUAACGGUUAAGCUAUUCCUUUCUGUUUUUCUUUUCUGAUUAGAGGUAGACUUUAUUUCUAUCUGAAAUAGUGCUAUAGUUGGUUUGUGAUUAUGAUUCGAGAUUAAUCUUCACAUAAAGAGUCUGUUACGAGCUAUGUUGUAUAGAGUUAUGAGAUAGAGCUCGUAUGUUUGUAGAAGUUGUUAUUUUGGCUAAAUAGAAUAAAAUUUAAAAUGAAAUAAUACAUCAGUUGUUAUGUAUUCACAUGUACAGAUUUGAAUUUAGCUAUCUGCAUAUUUUGCCUGAAUGGUUCGGUCACUUAGCCUAGAUUUUUUAAAAAAGGAGUUAUUCUUCUAACAGAAUCAUGACUUGAGUCUCUUUUCUGUUAUAUAGCAUGCCUAUAUGAAUCACCAUCUUUAAGUAGAUAUUCAAAGGAAUCAAAUCUAUAUCAUGUUGAAUGUUUACUUGAAGUAUUGUAACAAAUAUAGAUAUUCUGUUGGAACUAACAUUGAUUUAGAGCUUACGGUUAUACAUUUAGUUGUCAUGUUACCUAUGUAGGUACUGUAUAAAAGAGUUGUAACCUUUAAGCUUUUCUUUAAGAAUCAUGUCUAUAUGAGUGAUAUAUGAGAUCUUUUAGUCAUUUAGAAAUCAUACUGUAAGACUAAAUUUUAUUUGAUGAGAAUUAAACCUGAACUUGAUGUGUUUUUCAACCUUCUUUAUUGAAUAUAGGUAUUUUUGUCAUGAUACUAAGACAAAUUUAGAUAACAAUUUAUUCUAUUGCUAAGCCUUUUUCCUUCGUACAUCAUGCUUCUAGGAUUUCAAUUAUUUUUGUUAAAAAUACAUGUCUUAUUUAAUAAUGAAAUACUAGUAUGCACCUAUAUUUUUGCUAUUAGGCGUUGGUAUCUUAUAUGUGCUAAUUUAAAAGCUUUUGUAGAAGUAAGAAACACCUCAUGUUUGUUGGAACAUUGCUCUUUAAAAAGAUUUGUUAAAAUAUUGCUCCAGUUUGAAAAAUGUUCGUAUAUGAUUUGCUAUUGUUCUUCGGUUUCUUGUCUAUUGCAGAGUGAAGAAAAUAGUUGUACUUUUGUCUUGCGUGCUUCAUUCUUGUAUUGAAUUUUCGCCUCUAAUUUUCUUCUUCUUUCCUUUUGCAUAUACACUUGGAGCAAAAAAUAGAGUCUCACUCGAGACUCAACACUACCCGAGCAUGGAGUCAUCACAUGGCAUCCCCUUAGAAUGUCCCGGAUAGCAAGAAAACAAGCGAAACGCUUGGGGACGCCUAUGGCGUCUUUCAUUUUUCUUUUCCUCUUAUCAUUUGUUUAAUUUUUUUAUGAUUGUAGAUUUAUUUGGGAAUGUUUUAUAUUAGAUUUGGUAGCUAAAUCUUAUUUUGAUUAGUGUCAUUUACUCUAGUUAAUAAUAAAUCGCCGAUUUUAUUUACAUGAGUCUUAAGGGCUUUUAAAAUCAACAAUUUGAGAUAAUGGCUUUAUUUAUUUAUUUAGUUCUAAAAUAUUUGCCCCCAUCAAUUUUGGAAAUACUUAGUGUUUUUUGUCAGCAUUUGUCCAUAAAAA
rnacentral:lncRNA from 1 species